AUAAAAAGUUUAAUAUAUCAAAAAAAAAUAACAUCAUUAUAUAAUAUAUAGAGUUUAAAACAUCUCAAAAAAAAAUUCGUCAUAUUUUGUGAUUCGAAAUUUUAAGAAUGAACAUAUAUUAACUAAUUGGCGAAAAAUGUGUGGGUUUAACGUCCCGCAACGAAUAAAAUAUUUUGACAAUGAUUCAUAAACAUAUUAUAAAUAAGAUCAACAUUAAUAAAAUAAAUAAAUUUUUUUUGUGGAUGGAUUUGGCGGGACGGGUUUGGCAGGACGUUACUUAGUAACAAUUGUAAACUAUAAAAUAAUUUACAAAUUAUAUAUAUAUUAAUUUAAAAAAAUGAAUUGUCUACGCGGUGUACCGCGGGUUAAAAUCUAGUAGUAUAUACAUUCGUAACAAU
rnacentral:sRNA from 1 species